rnacentral:lncRNA from 1 species
AUGUGAGAAACCACAGCCAAGCAUUUCAAAAGGAGUUCCAGCCUGUCCAUUGACUCCACAUGCUUAUGGAUUUCGAAAUCCCCUUUGUAUCAGCCUUAUCUCUUCAUAUAUAACUUGUAUCUGAGACAUUAAAUCAAUUAAUGGAGUUUUGAGUCUCUAUCUUAUCAUUUAUUCUCUAUAAUCUCUUAAUCUCUUUAAUCUUACACAAAUCAGCCAGAUUCAUUCUUAAACACACUUUAAAACACAAAAGUGUUUAUGGUAUCAGAGCCAGGUUCCUAAAAGGGUGGGAGUGUGUUGUUCUUGCUUUGAAAAAUCUGGGUUUGUGUUCUUGGGCUGUUCUUGGUGUUCUUGAGUGUUCUUUGUGUUUUUGAGCUCUAUUCUUCAUUCUCUGGGAUUGUUUGAGUUUAUCUGAUGGAAACAAACGACCUCAGUAUGGAUAUGAAGCAUGGAUCUAGUAAACCAGUGAAGAUUCAAGGAGAAAAUGAUGGGUUUUGGUCCAGAUGGGUGAAGACAGCUGUGGGGAGCUGUGUGUUGUGGUGUAGUCAUGUAAAGGGGAAGCCUUUAAGUGA